GAUGAACGCUGGCGGCGUGCCUAACACAUGCAAGUCGAGCGGCAGCGAGGGGUGCUUGCACCCUGUCGGCGAGCGGCGGACGGCUGAGUAACGCGUGGGAACGUGCCCCAAAGUGAGGAAUAACUGCCCGAAAGGGUAGCUAAUACCGCAUAUUAUCUUCGGAUCAAAGGAUUUAUCCGCUUUGGGAGCGGCUCGCGUCGGAUUAGGUAGUUGGUGAGGUAAUGGCUCACCAAGCCGACGAUCCGUAGCUGGUCUGAGAGGAUGACCAGCCAGACUGGAACUGAGACACGGUCCAGACUCCUACGGGAGGCAGCAGUGAGGAAUCUUCCACAAUGGGUGAAAGCCUGAUGGAGCAACGCCGCGUGCAGGACGAAGGCCUUCGGGUUGUAAACUGCUUUUAUAAGUGAGGAAUAUGACGGUAACUUAUGAAUAAGGAUCGGCUAACUACGU
rnacentral:rRNA from 1 species